rnacentral:lncRNA from 9 species
AGAAAUGGUUGAGAAAAAGGCAAAGGGAGCCCACCUGGGGAUAAACAACUGAAGAUAACUGACAUAGCUUUUGGAAUGCAACAUAGCAAGACAGCAAUGUGUGGAAGGCAUUUCCUAGGGUAUGAAAAGGAUGCAGAUGAGAAUAGAAGACAUGGGCUCACAAUACAUUUUAAGAGGAAGUCAUCAGCAUUUUAAUCCUCUACAAGAACCAUAGACACCCACGCAGCUGUUGUCAGAAGAAAAGGAUUCAUGAAAGGCUGUUCUUGGCUGUGGCAUAGGUGACCCACAAGAGAAUUUGGUAACUUUGCCAACUCCUGAUUUCUAUGUCUUCAGGGGAAAGAAGUGAACAGACACAUCAUGCUGGGAAACUGCAGCUAACAUAUUAUCUAUUUCCAAAUAGUUCUAUGACAUGUUUUUGAUUGUGAUGACUCUUGAUGACAUCAUCUCCUCCUAAAAAAUAAAACUGAGAGCUUGAAUGAAAACCUCUAGAAUCUGCAAUUUUUUUCUUCCUGAAGAUAGGGAGGUAGAAGGAAAUAAGGAUGAGUACAGAUGUGUAU